rnacentral:rRNA from 1 species
ACCAGACUCCUACGGGAGGCAGCAGUGGGGGAUAUUGCACAAUGGGGGAAACCCUGGUGCAGCGACGCCGCGUGGGCGAAGAAGUAUUUCGGUAUGUAAAGCCCUAUCAGCAGGGAAGAAGAAAUGACGGUACCUGAGUAAGAAGCACCGGCUAAAUACGUGCCAGCAGCCGCGGUAAUACGUAUGGUGCAAGCGUUAUCCGGAUUUACUGGGUGUAAAGGGAGCGUAGACGGCAGUGCAAGUCUGGAGUGAAAGGCGGGGGCUCAACCCCCGGACUGCUCUGGAAACUGUACGGCUGGAGUGCAGGAGAGGUAAGUGGAAUUCCUAGUGUAGCGGUGAAAUGCGUAGAUAUUAGGAGGAACACCAGUGGCGAAGGCGGCUUACUGGACUGUAACUGACGUUGAGGCUCGAAAGCGUGGGGAGCAAACAGGAUUAGAUACCCCAGUA